AGCGGCAGCCGGCGGCCGUGGGGCUCCCGCCGCCGCCGCGCCAUGGGCCGCUUCCCCGCCGCCGCCGCUGCCAUGGCGGCCGCCUUCCUGAGCCCCAGCCUCGCCUUCAGCUCCCACUUCGACCCCGACGGCACCCCCCUUAGUGAGCUCUCCUGGUCCUCCUCGCUGGCUGUCGUGGCUGUUUCCUUCUCGGGGCUCUUCACCUUCAUCUUCCUCAUGUUGGCCUGUCUGUGCUGCAAGAAGGGGGACAUCGGCUUCAAGGAGUUUGAGAACGCCGAGGGGGACGACUACGUGACGGAGCUGUCGGCCCAGGGCUCGCCUGCCCCCCAGCAUGGCCCCGAGGUCUAUGUGCUGCCCCUCACCAAGGUGUCCCUGCCCAUGGCCAAGCAGCCGGGGCGCUCAGUGCAGCUCCUCAAGUCGGCAGACCUGGGGCGGCAGAGCCUCCUGUACCUGAAGGAGAUCGGGCAUGGCUGGUUUGGCAAGGUGUUCCUGGGGGAAGUGAACUCGGGCAUCAGCAGCACCCAGGUGGUGGUGAAGGAGCUGAAGGCGAGUGCCAGCGUGCAGGACCAGAUGCAGUUCCUGGAGGAAGCGCAGCCCUACAGAGCCCUCCAGCACACCAACCUGCUGCAGUGCCUGGCCCAGUGUGCCGAGGUCACGCCGUACCUGCUGGUGAUGGAGUUCUGCCCACUGGGUGACCUGAAGGGGUACCUGCGGAGCUGCCGGGGGGCCGAGGCCAUGACCCCGGACCUGCUGACCCUGCAGAGGAUGGCAUGUGAGGUGGCCUGCGGCGUCCUGCACCUGCACAGGAACAACUACAUCCACAGCGACCUGGCCCUGCGGAACUGCCUCCUCACCGCCGACCUCACCGUCAAGAUCGGGGACUACGGGCUCUCGCACUGCAAGUACAAAACCCUGCACACUUGGCAGGAUGACUACUUCGUGACGGCCGACCAGCUGUGGGUGCCGCUGCGCUGGAUCGCGCCCGAGCUCAUCGACGAGGUGCACGGCAACCUGCUCGUGGUGGACCAGACCAAGGCCAGCAACGUCUGGUCGCUGGGCGUCACCAUCUGGGAGCUGUUUGAGCUGGGCAGCCAACCCUACGACCACUACUCGGACCGGCAAGUGCUGGCCUAUGCCAUCAAGGAGCAGCAGCUGAAGCUGCCCAAGCCGCAGCUGAAGCUCUCGCUGUCGGAGCGCUGGUACGAGGUGAUGCAGUUCUGCUGGCUGCAGCCUGAGCAGCGCCCAACAGCGGAGGAGGUGCACCUGCUGCUGUCCUACCUGUGUGCCAAAGGGGCCACGGAGGCCGAGGAGGACUUCGAGAAACGCUGGAACUCCAUGAAGCCCAACGGCAGCGCUGGCGGCAGCCACCACGGCCCUGAGCUCUCCUCCUUCCCACUGCUGGAGCAGUUCUCAGCUGACGGCUUCCCCUCAGACGGGGACGACAUCCUCACCGUCAUGGAGACCAGCCACGGCCUCAACUUCGAGUACAAGUGGGAACACACCAAGACCGAGCACUUCCAGGCCCCCCUGGGGUCCCUGAGCCCCACCAGCGCCGCCCGCUACCAUGACCUCUACUACCCUGCCACGACGGUGGGGCUCAGCCUGGGGGUCUCCCCCUCCUGCUACGAGUGCAAGGCGGGGGGCUGCCCUGGGGUGCCGGCGCCUGGCGUGGUGCCCAUCCUGGGUGCCCACAGCCCCUCACUGGGCAGCGAGUACUACAUCCGCAUCGAGGGCCCCGGGGAGGGCAGCGCCGAGCUGGACUAUGCCAUGUGCACCUACAGCCCUGCGGGCGAGCGGGGGCCCCUGCGCCCCCCGUCCUGCUGGAGAGCCCAGGGUGGCCGGAGCAGCGGCGCCUACGACUCCGACGGCAGCCCCACCGUGUCCCUCAGCAUGGAGCCUCUGCUGGGCCACGCGCCGGCGGGAGAGGCCUCCUGGGAGUGCGCCGAGUACUACCCCUAUCCCUGCCCCGGGCAGGAGCCGCGGGGCUAUGAACCGUCCCCCAGCCACGGGGCCGAGGGGUACCUGCUGGAGGAGGAGCCCCCCCAGCCAGGCAGCCAGGACUGGCCCGUCCCCAGCUUCCAGCCCGGCAUGUUCACCGACCCGCUGGGCGUCUCGCCGCCGGGGAACUGCACUUACAGCCCCCGGGGGUACGGGGCGACACGGGGGCAGAGCGGGGCCCCGCCGGACUGUGUGGCACUGGAGCUGGGCGAGGACAGCCCCCCGAGUGCCCCCCACCCGCCAGGUGCCAGCCCCCCGCCUCAGCGCCUUCCCUGGGCCUCCAACAGCUCCUCCAACAACAACAUCGGCAGCGGCAGCCCCCGUGAGCCCCCGGCCGGCGACAGCUGGUGCUACCGCCGCAUGAUCACCUUCCGCGGGCUCAUGGCCAAGCCGCUGGGCACGGUGCCACGCGGCCAGCCCCAGCUCGGGGGGUCCCCGCCGGGACACGACUUCCUCCGCCCGCGGCAGGAUCAGCCCCCCGCCAUGGCCGGCGGCUCCUCCUCCCCGUGCCGCUCGCCCUCCCCGCGGCUCCAGGCCUGGCACGGCCGUGACUCAUCACCCUGCGGCCGCGCACAGGCAGUCACGCUGGCGGGCAGCCCCGCCACGCCGUGGGGCCCCGACGCGGCCCCGACACCUGCGCCAGGGGCCCCUCGUGAUGCCCACCCGGACGAGAGCGCAGUGGGGGGCAGCCCUGCCUGCAGCCCACUGCCCCACGCCACAGUGGGGCUGGGGGAGGCCGCCCCCAUGGCUGGCACCACCACCCCAAACCCUGGCCUGCCUGUUGAGCCUGGCACAGACAGCGCCCAGCCCACGCCAGAGCCCGCCGAGGCGCCCGCACCGAUGCCCACGGAGGCCAUGGCUGAGAGCGGCGCCUGUGCCACCAGCGAUGCUGACCGGACACCGGACAAGACCUUCUCCAGCGGCAGCUUCCCCAGCGUGGACGAAGGCAGCGAUGAGGACACGGCAGAGCUGACCUCCGGCGUCUUCACCGACUUCUCCGGGGACUACACGGAGCGGACGGAGGCGACCCCGGCACUCAGGUCCCUGCAGAAGCAGGUGGGGACACCGGACUCGCUGGAGUCACUGGACAUCCCCUCCACGGCCAGUUCCUGCGAGGUGCUGAGCCCCGGUGCCUUUGUGCCCGCUGGCCAAGCCCGCGCCCUGGACAGCGGCUACGACACCGAGAACAACGAGUCCCCCGAGUUCGUCCUCAAGGAGCCCCACGAACCCCGAGAGCCGGAGACCUUCAACCAGCUGGCGAAGCCGCCUCCAGGGCUGCCAGGGGGCGAGGGUGAGGGUCCGGCCCCCGAAACGCGGCUGCCCAGUGCCCUGGGGGCUGAGCUGCACAGCCUGGCCGAGAAGAGCCCCUACCGUGACUCUGCCUACUUCUCCGACUGCGACGCCGAGGCUGAGCGUGGCCCCAAGGACGAGGGGGACAGUGAUGGAUCCCGCACCCCGGAGGCAGAGGAGGGUCCCCGCUCCCCUGAGCAGGACGUAGGGCGAGGGGAGGAUCCACUGCACCCCCCGGGGGCACCUGGCAGCCCCCCAGCAGCGCCUGGUGUCGCAGUGGCGGUGCCCAUGCCGGUUGUGGGGGUUUUGGAGGGGGACCAGGAGGGGGCUGAGGACAGGAGCACACCGGCCGGCCCCACGGAGCAGGCACCUGGCACGGAGCAGUGCCCCGCUGGCACGGGGCUGGUGCUGGGCAGCCCCCCACGCCCCGACACUGAUGUCUGUCCCCCGGGCUCUGUGACCCCCAAGACUUUCCCCUUGACCCCCGUGCCAGUGAGCCCUGGGGAGCCACUGACUGUCGGAGGGACCCACGUGCCUGAGGGUGUCCCUGGAGUUGGAGGAGCUGUGGCAGGGGAUAAACAGACUGUGCCCCUUGUGCUGGGGCCUGGGGACCUGGGGCUGCCCCCGGAGGGGACGGGGGUGGGUGAUGCUCCGGGGGGUCCCAGCACGCUGCUGCCAAGGGCUGAGCCAGCCCCGGGCCUCUCCCCGCUCCCGUCGGCCCCUGAGCGCCACGAGGAGCCGGAGGAGGAGGAUGAGGACACAGAGGACAGCGACGAGUCAGACGAGGAGCUGCGCUGCUACAACAUCCAGGAGCAGAGCGAGGAGAGCGAGGAGGAGCCGGUGGCUGUGCCCAUCGUGGUGGCCGAGAGCCAGAGUGGCCGGAACCUGCGCAGCCUCCUCAAGAUGCCCAGCCUGCUCUCCGAGUCCUUCUGCGAGGACCUGGAGCGCAAGAAGAAGGCCGUCUCCUUCUACGACGAUGUGACCAUCUACCUCUUCGACCAGGAAAGCCCCACGCGGGAGCUGGCUGAGCAGGGCUUCCCAGAGCCCCCCCUGCCUUCGGGGCAGCCCCCCCUGCCUUCGGGGCAGCUCCCUGCCAGUGGCAGCCCCCCCAGCCCCACGGACAAGCUCGGAGCCUCAGACGACUCCUCAGAUGGCAAUGCCUCGGAAGAGAGCGGUGGCUUCGAGUGGGACGAUGACUUCCCGCUGGUGCCGGUGAAGCCGCCCCUGGUGGCCUCGCUGCCGGGGACACCAGCAGAGCCCCCCGCGGCCGUGCCCGCCCUGCCUGCCCUGGUGCCGGCACAGAAACAGGUGCUGCCCAUCCAGUUCUCCCGGUUCACGGUCUCGCCUGCCCCGGUGUCCCGGUUCUCCAUCACCCACGUCUCCGACUCGGACAUGGACUCCAUAGGAGGCAGCAGCGAGGACGGUGACCGGGAGUGAGCCCGCCGGGACACAGCCGGCAUCGCCCCGGCACCGGGCAGGCGCAGGACGGCGGGGCUGGGCACGGGGGUCGCCCGUGGGCUCCCAGACCCCGCUCUGGAUUUUUUAGGCAGAUUUUCUCGGAAGGAACUCGUUUGCUGCUGCGAGUGGGAGUGGGGCCGUGCCCCCCGCGGGGCCAGGCGGUUACGUCUUGCAGGUGCCACCGAGCCAGGAGGUGCAGCGAAGCCCCCGGGGGCUGGUUGGAGCCAGGGUGGCUGCUCAGGGGUCCCGGGGGGGCAGCCCCUGGCACAGGGGUGGAAGAGGACAACGCUGUGGCCGAGGGGACCCCAGGCCUGUCCCCACCCAGGGCUGUGACCACCAGCCCUCUCCCACCCACUGCACCGUGCGCCAGUGGAGCCCUUCCCCUCACCCCUGCCCCGUGUGGUCCCCCACCCAUCUGCUCCAGCCCUGGGAGAAGAGGAGGCACAGGAGAGGAAGAGGAGGCACAUCAUGGAGCAGGGAACCCUCGUGUACAGCUGGAGCCUGGACGGUCGCAGAAGCUCUUUUCCUGCAGCGGAGCUGGAAAAUCCAUCGGAGGGGACAUGGGAGAGAUGAACCACCACAUCCCACUGGGACCGAGCCCCGCGCUGGCACCGCUCUGUGCCCGGCCAAGCGCCCACUGCCUGGACUGUGGUGACCAGGACAUGCUGCACUAGUGAUCAGGAAGUGCAAAAUGAAAAAUACAAUGGAAAAAGCAAAAACUCUGUUCGGCAUCAACCACUCACCCACGGGAGACACAAUUGCUGCCUGGAAACCCCCUUCUCCCUGUUUUCAGAGCAAGGACAAGACUCCUGUGUCGGCUCCCUGGAACUGUGGAAGGGCCCGGGAGCCACCUCACUCGUGGGCACUCCCAGCAAUAAGCUUAGCAAGUGUGUGUAUAUAUAUAUUUAUAUAUAUUUAUCUCUAUCUAUCUCUCUCUCUCAUGCAGCCCUAGGAAUAGAGGAAGAGCAAACAGCCAAGCAAGAGGUCUGGAGGGAGCUUCUGUCUGCGGGGAGCAGGGCCCCCCAACUGCCCCAGGCACCCCAAGGCUUCCACACUGCCCUCGCCUCCACAAGUGUGUUUUUCUAGCUUAUAUUUUACAGCAGUACCGUAAUUCCCUACAAUAUCCUGAGCCCUGGCACUGCAGGAGCUCUGGGACCAGAGCCGGCCCUGUCCCAGCAAGGGCUGCAGUGCCACCACCCUGUUGCUGGUGUGCCAGCCUGGAGGAUGGGGUGGGCAUCCAGGGUCUAGUGGGAGCCUGGGAGCUGCCUACAGCUCUCACCUUCCCUUGGCUUGCACGGGGUAUCCGGGCUAUCCCACCUUUCCUAGGGGUCCCUCCUGUCUGGGCAGGGGAGAGCAGGGGGACCGUGUCCCCUCUGCCACUGCCACCCCACCGGAGCACUGUGAGCCCCUGGAGCCCUUUCUUCAGCUGAGCCCAUUUUCCCACCCAUGGCAAACUGCUGCUCAGCCUGGGAACCAUCCCAGCCCCAGGACGUGCUGCUCCAGCUCCGGGAUGUGCUGCCACCACACUCCUUGGUGCAGGCAGAGGACAGGUGACACGACCGCGGUGUGACCCUCUGCCACUGAGGGGGACAAGCUGGGUCUAGAGAAGAGAGAACUAGGGCACUAGCUUGAGCCUUUGGCUUUCAAAGCAGCAGGAUUAAAUAAAUUCCGCCUAAAAAUGAAGUCCUGGGAAGCCGGACAUGCAGUGGUGAGGAUGAGGAGGACGAGGAGGUGGCGAGUGCCGCGGGUGCCAGCGCUCCCCAAUCAGCUGAUGAGCGGAGCUGAGCGGUCGUUCGUCACCGUUGGCUUCAGCUGGACGUUGGCAAAGGGGUUUCUGCGGAGGAAGAGGAAGGAAGAGUUAACGGGGGGACGGCGGCAGCGGGGCUGGUGAGGACGGGGCACCGGCACAGCGAGCGGGCACUGGCAAGACCCCAGGAGAGCAGCUUUGGGAAGGGGUUAACUGGAAAGGCUCUGCCCUGUGGAGCCCCCAGCUGAGCUGCCCCCACUCCUCAGCUCCUCUCCCAGCUAAAGCCCUGGUAGGUGUCAGAGAUGAGCCGAGGGCAGCUCCAUGUGGGAUGUUCUCCUACCUCACUCUCCAUCAGCCUAAAGCAGGAGAUGCCAUGGGGGACCAGGGCUGGAGAAGCUGCUCCAGUCCCCUCCAGGUUGGACUCACACAGUUCCCACAGAUGGGAGCACCACGAGAUCACCUGGCUCUGCACUACCGGUUAUGGCCUGACCUCCCAGCCAAGGGCAGAGCUGGUAGCUCCCUGCAGAGGCCUUGUGCUGCCUCUGGAGAAGUUAAUAUCCAAGAGUGUGGGAGAUAAAGAACACCUGGAUGGACUUGGCAGAGCCAAGAGACCAAGCCCAGCCCAGCCAGCCUGACCUGGGGUUUCACCUACCUGGGGUGUCCCCCACACUGUCCUGUCACUUGGCCAGGAGAGGAUACAGGGGCUACCUUGGCAUGGGGAGCAUCCUUACCCCACCCCAGGAGGUCUCCUUUGUGCUCUCCCAGCAGGAGUUAACUCCCUGGAGGUGUGGGCAGCUCUGGGGGUUCCAUUGGCUGUCAGGGGUGCCUGGGGUCAUCAGGUCCAAACCUGCACUGGGCAGGGAGCCACCAAGCAGCUCCCUACCCAUCCUCCCUGUCUCACCUGCCCAGCGCCCCCAGCCCUCCCCAGGGAGCCACACAAUCCCUCUCCUUUCCCCAGUGGAAGCUGUGGCCAUGGCCCACCACACACAUGGGUCCCACAGCUGGGCCACUGGCCAGUUCCCCACCAUGGAGGCACCAGAUGUGGGUGCAUGUAAAGUGCCGUGGUUACCAUCUACAACUGGACUGAACAGCUUUGGGAUGUCCCCAGAAGCUUUGGAAUGUCCCCAGAGCAGAAGGAGGAGGCUGGGACCCCCAACCCCCCUGGGACGGACACUCACUGUUUGCCCCAGGCCCCCUCCUUGCCAUCCCUCACCUCUCCAUGUGCACUUUUUCUCUCCUUAGAAGAUAAAUGGCUUUUGCUUAAAAAUAGGGUAAUUAAUUUCCCACCUAAUUAAUGCAGAUGCUUAGAUCACUUUCCCCCCCAGGAUGCCAAAAUAGAUUCUCAGGACUGGAGGGAGAGAAAAGUUGCUUUGAUGAAUCACCCGGGGCUCUCAUUUAACUAUUUCUGUGCUGGCAGCGAAGAGCCAUUGGGGUGGAGCCUGCAACUCCAGGGAAUACAGCUCAUGGAUCAAACAGAAACGGGAAGAGGGCUCUCCAGGCUCUGCAGUGCCGAGGUGGGUGUCGGCUCCUGGGGAAGCUCCUCCAUCCCAUCCCAGGGGCCAGGAUGAGGAGGCUCCCAGGACAAGGAACCUCCUGGGACAAGUCUACAACAAAAAAGCUGCUCAAAAAACUCGAGGUUAGCGCGGACGUUCCCUGCCCCGCCGGAGAGUGGGCUGGGGCUGGCGAUGGGCACCAGAGACCUACAACCGAAGAGGCUGGUUAGGGGCAGCGGGAAGCGCAGGAGCAGCUCAGCAUCCCGGGAAGCGCAGCCACGGCAGCGGAGCGAGUGGCCGUGCAGAGGCAGCGCGGUGAGACCCAGAGCUCCUGCCACCGGGCCGGGGACAAGCGGUGACCGACGGAGGGGACGGAGGCAGGGGGAAGCAGAGCGGUGGCACCGUCCCCGCGCAGCCCCGCGGCCUCACCCGCUGCCCAGCGCACCCAGGGCUCGGCCCCCCGACACCGUCAACUUACUAACUACGGGCAGGGGCACCUCAAAACCUGGCCACUUCAACAUCGGGGCUGCAAGGGAAACAGAAGGCACGUUGGAGGACACCGGGACGCUUGAUGGGAACAGAAGGUCGUGGUUAAGGAGAGACUUAAGGUUCCGGGCAGGCGGCCCCAGAGCCCACCGGCCACCCCGCACGCAGCACGUCAGGCAGAGGAAACAGGAGGAAAAAGAAGAAAAAGGAGAAAAAGUCGUGUUUAUUGAGUCACUGGUGCUGCGAGGAGGGGAAGGAAGGGCACGGCCGGCUGGGAGCCACCUGGGGAGCGCAGGGGUCGGGCAUGGGGCUGCGGAAGGGAGGGGGGGCUUCCUUCCCCCGUGCCAGCCAUCCCCGCUUUCCCAGCGCCGGGAAAGUGCAGCCGGAGCCUUGGCAUGCGGGAGCAGCAGCAGCAGCAUCACCCCCUCAGGUGCUCACAGAGGGGGGACCCGGCUCUUAAACAGUUGUCGCUGCUCCCGCUCAGCGAAGCUGUUUAAUGCCAGCGGGGCCGGGCGUGCACGGGCAGCAGCCAGAGCCCCCCACGGCCGCCCCGCGCCGAGGGAUGGAGCAAGGAACAAAAACAUGGCAUGGGAAUGUGCGGCGGGCGAUGCAGGCUGUGAGGGCAGCACACAGGCACGGCAGCCGAAAAAGACACCGAGGCCCAGCUCAAUGCAAUAAAUAAAACUUUUAUUCGAACAAUAA